rnacentral:rRNA from 1 species
UACGUAGGGGGCAAGCGUUGUCCGGAUUUAUUGGGCGUAAAGAGCGUGUAGGCGGCCAGGUAGGUCCGUUGUGAAAACUGGAGGCUUAACCUCCAGCUGUCGAUGGAAACCAUCUGGCUAGAGUCCGGAAGAGGAGAGUGGAAUUCCUGGUGUAGCGGUGAAAUGCGCAGAUAUCAGGAGGAACACCAAUUGCGAAGGCAGCUCGCUGGGACGUUACUGACGCUGAGACGCGAAAGCGUGGGGAGCAAACAGG